rnacentral:rRNA from 1 species
UAACCCCGAACGGUGGAUCACUCGGCUCGCGGAU